rnacentral:tRNA from 1 species
CAAAAGGUAGUAUAUAAAUUACAUCUUGUUUACACCAAGCAGAAGGUAAAUAACCCCAUUUGA